rnacentral:misc_RNA from 1 species
AAGUCGUAACAAGGUUUCCGUAGGUGAACCUGCGGAAGGAUCAUUACAAUCCAAAAUACACAACCCCAUGUGAACCUGUGUUUGUAUGUCUUUGGGGGGCUCAAGGUUUUUCCCCUUUUGCCCCCAUGUUUAUUGAACCACUCUGGUCUUUUCGUUGGAAUAACUUUUAUUAGCAAUAAUAAAGGACAACUUUUAACGGUGGAUCUCUUGGCUCGU